rnacentral:rRNA from 1 species
GUAGGUGACCUGCGGAGGAUCAUUACGAGAAUCGAGGCUGACGGUGCCUGCCGGUGCUUUGUGCGCCCGUGCUAGGUUGCGUCCGGCCCCGCUCCUUACCUUGCCUACUGCACCGUUUGUUGCUUCCUGGCGGUGGGACACCACCGCCAGGGACCUUCUAAAAGUCUUGUAUGGAAGCAUUGAAACCCCUGAUAUACACUAAAUCGUACAACUUUCAACAAUGGAUCUCUUGGUUCUGGCAUCGAUGAAGAACGCAGCGAAAUGCGAUAAGUAGUGUGAAUUGCAGAAUUCAGUGAAUCAUCGAAUCUUUGAACGCACAUUGCGCCCCUUGGUAUUCCAUGGGGCAUGCCUGUUCGAGCGUCAUCUGAACCCUCAAGCCUCCCCGGUGUUGCCCCGCCCAUGGCGCGGGCCACGCCCGGCUUGGUGUUGGGUGUCUGUCCCCGCCCCCCGCGCGGACUCGCCCUAAAUGCAUUGGCAGCGGCCACCCGGCUCCUCGCGCAGCACAUUGCGCAGUGGGGCGCGGAGAGGCGCGCGUCCAGCAAGCAAACCCCCCAAGUUUGACCUCGGAUCAGGUAGGGAUACCCGCUGAACUUAAGCAUAUCAAUAAGCGGAGGA